GCAAAUAACGACUUCUCUCUCUGUAGGAGGAAUUCAUUAGUGUUAGACUCAAAGUCCUGCUGUGGCCCUGAGGCACUUGCUUUUACUGCCAACCUGAAGAGCUACAGUAUUCUGUUUGCAUGAAUUUGAGAGUUGAAGGCAUGCCUACUUAACGUUAUUGGAAUAAAAACAGGCAUUAACAGGAUAUCUCUGA